GGGGAAUAUUGGACAAUGGGGGAAACCCUGAUCCAGCAAUGCAGCGUGAGUGAAGAAGGCCUUAGGGUUGUAAAGCUCUUUCGCCCGCGAAGAUAAUGACGGUAGCGGGAGAAGAAGCCCCGGCUAACUCCGUGCCAGCAGCCGCGGUAAUACGGAGGGGGCUAGCGUUGUUCGGAAUUACUGGGCGUAAAGCGUAAGUAGGCGGAUGCGCAAGUUGGGGGUGAAAUCCCGGGGCUUAACCUCGGAAUUGCCCUCAAAACUGCACGUCUUGAGACCGAGAGAGGUAAGGGGAAUUCCUAGUAUAGAGGUGAAAUUCGUAGAUAUUAGGAAGAACACCAGUGGCGAAGGCGCCUUACUGGCUCGGUACUGACGCUGAGGUACGAAAGCGUGGGGAGCAAACA
rnacentral:rRNA from 1 species